AUGGACAAGAAUAUGCAGCAAGAGCGAGAGGUGAUGGACAAGAAUCUGAAGCAGGAGCGGGCAACCGUGGACCGCAUGAGGAAGGAGGAGCGUGCAACCAUGGAACAAAUGAUGACUGAGGAGUGUGUAGCCAUGGAUCAGAGGUUGAAGCAUUUCCAUGACGAUAUGGACCUAAAGUUGAAGCAGGAGCGCAAGGACCUGGAUCGCGCUAUGCAGCUCGAGCGUGGCAGGAUGGAAUUCAAUGCAUGCAGGCGCGUGCGAACAUGGACCAUAUGUUGCAGCAGGAGCGUAAUGACAUGA
rnacentral:rRNA from 1 species